rnacentral:rRNA from 1 species
AGAGGAGCUUGCUCCUCAGAACAGUGGCGGACGGGUGAGUAACACGUGAGCAACCUGGCUCUAAGAGGGGGACAACAGUUGGAAACGACUGCUAAUACCGCAUAACGUAUCGGGAUGGCAUCUUCCUGAUACCAAAGAUUUUAUCGCUUAGAGAUGGGCUCGCGUCUGAUUAGAUAGUUGGCGGGGUAACGGCCCACCAAGUCGACGAUCAGUAGCCGGACUGAGAGGUUGAACGGCCACAUUGGGACUGAGACACGGCCCAGACUCCUACGGGAGGCAGCAGUGGGGGAUAUUGGACAAUGGGGGCAACCCUGAUCCAGCGACGCCGCGUGAGGGAAGAAGGUUUUCGGAUUGUAAACCUCUGUUGACGGAGAAAAAAAUGAUGGUAUCCGUUUAGAAAGCCACGGCUAACUACGUGCCAGCAGCCGCGGUAAUACGUAGGUGGCAAGCGUUGCCCGGAAUUACUGGGUGUAAAGGGAGUGUAGGCGGGAUGUCAAGUCAGAAGUGAAAAUUACGGGCUCAACUCGUAACCUGCUUUUGAAACUGACAUUCUUGAGUGAAGUAGAGGCAAGCGGAAUUCCUAGUGUAGCGGUGAAAUGCGUAGAUAUUAGGAGGAACACCAGUGGCGAAG